rnacentral:rRNA from 1 species
GACGAACGCUGGCGGCGUGCCUAAUACAUGCAAGUUGAGCGCUGAAGGUUGGUACUUGUACCAACUGGAUGAGCAGCGAACGGGCGAGUAACGCGUGGGGAAUCUGCCUUUGAGCGGGGGACAACAUUUGGAAACGAAUGCUAAUACCGCAUAAAAACUUUAAACACAAGUUUUAAGUUUGAAAGAUGCAAUUGCAUCACUCAAAGAUGAUCCCGCGUUGUAUUAGCUAGUUGGUGAGGUAAAGGCUCACCAAGGCGAUGAUACAUAGCCGACCUGAGAGGGUGAUCGGCCACAUUGGGACUGAGACACGGCCCAAACUCCUACGGGAGGCAGCAGUAGGGCAUCUUCGGCAAUGGACGAAAGUCUGACCGAGCAACGCCGCGUGAGUGAAGAAGGUUUUCGGAUCGUAAAACUCUGUUGGUAGAGAAGAACGUUGGUGAGAGUGGAAAGCUCAUCAAGUGACGGUAACUACCCAGAAAGGGACGGCUAACUACGUG